rnacentral:misc_RNA from 1 species
GGAGAACGCGUUGCUAGGGAAGAGACCCUGUAUGAUUUUCUUCUGAAGGGACAUAAUGCCUUGUUGAGUAGCUAUUUCCUUUACAUUCAAGAUAAAAGUCCUGUGUGUAAAAUCAGAAGCAAGUUUAUUGUAAAGAGCCUUAGAAAGAGUUGUUUUACCAACUCCUCCUAUUCCAUGCAACCCCAAGAUUUUGACACCGUUGCUCUUGACAUCCAACUGUCUUAUGAGUUCUUCCAGACUGUAAUCAAUUCCAACAACAAACGGAGCUACAACCAUUGGGGAAUUGCUUAAUUCAUC